CGGAUGCAGCGUGGCGAUUUGUACACCGGAUUGCGGGCCACGUUAAACAUGCCGCUAAAGAGGUCGGGAUGUUUCCCCG
rnacentral:ncRNA from 2 species